CAGCAGCCACGGGAAUACGUAGGGUGCGAGCGUUAAUCGGAGUUACUGGGCGUAAAGCGUGCGCAGGCGGUUGUGUAAGACAGGUGUGAAAUCCCCGGGCUUAACCUGGGAACUGCGCUUGUGACUGCACAGCUAGAGUAUGGCAGAGGGGGGUGGAAUUCCACGUGUAGCAGUGAAAUGCGUAGAGAUGUGGAGGAACACCGAUGGCGAAGGCAGCCCCCUGGGCCAAUACUGACGCUCAUGCACGAAAGCGUGGGGAGCAAACAGGAUUAGAUACCCCCGUAGUCCCUGUCUCUUAUAC
rnacentral:rRNA from 1 species